UGGGGAAUCUUGCGCAAUGGGCGAAAGCCUGACGCAGCGACGCCGCGUGGGGGACGAAGGCCCUCGGGUUGUAAACCCCUUUCGGCAGGGACGAAGCGAUCGUGACGGUACCUGCAGAAAAAGCACCGGCUAACUACGUGCCAGCAGCCGCGGUAAUACGGAGGGAGCUAGCGUUGUUCGGCAUUACUGGGCGUAAAGAGUACGUAGGCGGUGAUUCAAGUCAGAGGUGAAAGCCUGGAGCUCAACUCC
rnacentral:rRNA from 1 species